rnacentral:tRNA from 2 species
GGGGUCGUAGCUCAAUUGGCUAGAGCAUCGGACUGUCGAUCCGAAGGUUGAGGGUUCGAGCCCCUUCGACCUCG